CGCCCCCUCCCCCUCCGGCCCAGCCCUGGGCGGGGCAGACGCCCUUGGAGUCGGGAGAAAAGACUAUCUGAUUUCAAAACCGACGCGACCCGAGCUGGGCUGCGGAAAUGGCGCCCAUGUCCCGGCUCCGGCCAGGUCGUGAUCAGGAGACAGACUGAGGAGCCUCUCCCCACCGCAAUCCCUUUAUACUGGGUAGGGGUUCGAAGGCACAGGGACAGAGUAUACAGGACACUGCUUGAGGCAGCGCGUCCACCCACCAUCUGUGCGACCUCAUCAAGUCACCUCUCUGAGCCUCAGUUUCCCGGUAUAAUGGAAACGGCAAUUUUAAAUGACACAUAUGAGGCCUCACUCCAUCACCCAGGCUGGAUUGCAGAGACACGAUCAUAGCUCACUACAGCCUCUAACUCUUGGGUUCAAGCGAUCCUCUCACCUCAGCCUCCAUAGUUCUUAGCUGGGACUACAAGUGUGCAGCAUCACACCUGGCUAAUAAUUCCAUCCUUAACCCUCUGCGAGGGAUGCCAUUUGCCUUCUGAAUAAACCCAGACUCCUUCAGGAGGCUUACAAGGUCCUGGGCCACAUUUUUAGCCUUUCUUCCAUCCACUCCACCACAGACUUUAAGAUGCAGUAAAAAUGGUUCUCACUUCCUUGCCUUACCACAGCUGUGCCAUCCACCUGUCGUGCCCACUACCCAUCUGCCUCUUCAGGCAGGACUGUGUGGAUUGGAUGUUGCCAGAUCACAGUGGCCUGUUCACUCUCCUGGUUCCUCCUCAAGGACUGAGCACCUUAAUUGCAUGUCAGUCUUAUUGUACUUGGACUCCCUCAUGUCUACCGCGGCAUAUGUGGAGUGAGUGAGUGAGUGAAUGAAUGAAUGAAUGAAGGGGUUAAGAUUUGGACCAGCUUGUCCCUGAGGGGUCCAGUGAGUUUCGAAGAUGUACCUCAAGCAAAUAAUCAUAAUCAGGUUGCAUGCCCACCCAAUGCCAGCAGAGGAGACCAGAGACCAGCGGGCAGGUGGAAGCUGUGCCCCCAGGAGUCUAAGAAGUCUCUGGCCUGGCCAGAGGGUACUUCCAAAGCCUGUGUGAGAAGUUCCAUCUUCCCGUCCCUCAUCUCAGGCCAACUCU
rnacentral:lncRNA from 10 species